rnacentral:rRNA from 1 species
AAGUCGGGUGUGAAAUCCCUCGGCCCAACCGAGGAACUGCGCCCGAAACUGCAUGUCUUGAGGACAGGAGGGGGGCGCGGAAUUCCUGGUGGAGCGGUGAAAUGCGUUGAUAUCAGGAGGAACACCGGCGGCGAAGGCGGCGCUCUGGCCUGUUUCUGACGCUGAGGUGCGAAAGCCAGGGGAGCAAACGGGAUUAGAUACCCCGGUAGUCCUGGCCGUAAACGAU